GUGCUUGUUUCAGCAGCAUAUAUAAAACUGGAAUAAUUUAGAGAAGAUUAGCAUGCCCUUACACAAGUAUGACAUGCAAAUUUGUGAAGCAUUCGUAUUUUUA
ensembl:snRNA U6 U6 spliceosomal RNA